GCCUGGCUGGCUAUUGGUAGAGCAUGUGACUCUUGAUCGCAGGGUCGUGAGUUCAAGCCCCACAUUGGGCA
rnacentral:tRNA from 1 species